UCGAAACCUUAUGGUUCCUUUGAUCUUGAGAAACCAACAUGCUUGAAACUUCAUGACUUUGCUUCAUGAAGAGUUGGGAGUAUCAGCCCACCAUUUUAAUCCGUUUGGAGGUGUCUACGUACAACAUGAGCCGUUUGCGGAUGGCGUCUGUGAUUGUUGUGCAAAGUUCGCGCAAUGUGAGUUGUGCUGAGCUAUAGACUUGAUGAGCACUGCAUGAGUGCCGCCUCUAUGUUUGUACUGGUGGUUAAGCAUUAGGCUGUCGCCAGCCUAUUGCAACACCUGCUGGUCAGGAAAUCUUAAUGACUCGCUUCGUCGAGCGCCAGUACAGAUGAACAUUUUACAUUUAACGUUUGAAGAAUCGUGGCUUUAUGUCACAAUCGACUAGCUUCAGCGAUGGAUCGGUCGAUUCGCGUAUCGAUGAAAAACGCAGCUAGCUGCGUUAUUUACCACGAAUUGCAGACGCUUAGAGUGGUGAAAUUUUGAACGCAUAGCGCCGUUGGGUUUUCCCUUCGGCACGUCUGGUUCAGGGUUGUUUUCAAUAUACUACAGUGUGGCCUGUUAAGCACUGUUUGUCGAAUGACGCUUGUGCACAUGUGCACAAUCCUCGUUCUAGAUGAGAACUAUAUUGCAACAUGUACAUUGUGGAUGUGAAAGUCUACACCCUGUACACGAAUGUCAUGACCGUGUUGUCUCUGUCAAAAGUAUUUAGCGAGUAAUGAAAUACUUUGGCGGGGCUUGUAUGACAACGUCGAGUCCAUGUCAUUUGCAA
rnacentral:misc_RNA from 1 species